ACGUAGGGCGCAAGCGUUAUCCGGAAUUAUUGGGCGUAAAGAGCUCGUAGGCGGUUUGUCGCGUCUGCCGUGAAAGUCCGGGGCUCAACUCCGGAUCUGCGGUGGGUACGGGCAGACUAGAGUGAUGUAGGGGAGACUGGAAUUCCACGUGUAGCAGUGAAAUGCGUAGAGAUGUGGAGGAACACCGAUGGCGAAGGCAGCCCCCUGGGCCAAUACUGACGCUCAUGCACGAAAGCGUGGGGAGCAAACAGGA
rnacentral:rRNA from 1 species